GCUCAUGAACCAAGGUCUACAAUAUUUUUUCAAAAUUAUUCAUUUGACACCUCACUAUCAAAAAAUAUAUUUAUAAAUCGAUUGUAAAUACACAAAUCAGGGAUGGAAAAUUUUUUUGUUAUGCAGUGAAAUUUGACAAGGUAAAUUACAGAAAAUACAGAGAAUGGUGUUUCUUUGAAAUGACAGAUCCUAAUUCGUUUAUUAAAAUGGUAAAUCUUCAAGAAUGGCUUUAUAUCCGCCUACAGGGGUAUCUAAACACACAAGGUUAACCCACUAGAUCUAUUAAAUCCAGUGAGAUAAUCUUCAAUAGAAUAAAAGCGUUAUAAGGCUGUUAAAAAUAAAAACCAUACAAGCUGA